rnacentral:sRNA from 1 species
CACCGCCUGGGGAGUACGACCGCAAGGUUAAAACUCAAAUGAAUUGACGGGGACCCGCACAAGUAGUGGAGCAUGUGGUUUAAUUCGAAGAUACGCGCAGAACCUUACCAACACUUGACAUGUUCGUCGCGACUCUAAGAGAUUAAAGUUUUCGGUUCGGCCGGACGAAACACAGGUGCUGCAUGGCUGUCGUCAGCUCGUGUCGUGAGAUGUUGGGUUAAGUCCCGCAACGAGCGCAACCCUCACUUUUAGUUGCCAUCAUUCAGUUGGGCACUCUGAAAGAACUGCCAGUGAUAAGCUGGAGGAAGGUGGGGAUGACGUCAAGUCCUCAUGGCCCUUACGUGUUGGGCUACACACGUGCUACAAUGGUAUCUACAACAGGAAGCAAGACUGCGAAGUUAAGCAAAUCCUUAAAAGAUACCUCAGUUCGGAUUGCACUCUGCAACUCGAGUGCAUGAAGCUGGAAUUACUAGUAAUCGUGGAUCAGCGUGCCACGGUGAAUGCGUUCCCGGGUCUUGUACACACCGCCCGUCACACCAUGGGAGUUGGUUCUACCUUAAGGCAAGGUUUAAAACCCUUGACCACGGUAUAGUCAGCGACUGGGGUGAAGUCGUAACAAGGUAGCCGUAGGGGAACCUGCGGCUGGAUUACCUCCUUUCUAAGGAUGAAUGAAAGUAAAAUUUCAUUCUAAAUAAUAUACCAGGUAAUGUUGACCGUCCUCAUUUCUCUUCUUAAAAUAGUGUUUCUCUUGCAUGGGGGCCGGUAGCUCAGUUGGUUAGAGCACACCCUUGAUAAGGGUGGGGUCGAAAGUUCGAGUCUUUCUCGGCCCACCAAUUAAAGAUCAUGGGGGAUUAGCUCAGCUGGGAGAGCGCCUGAUUUGCAUUCAGGAGGUCAGCGGUUCGAUCCCGCUAUCCUCCACCAAAACACUUAGUUAUAAAAAAUUGUGAAAAAAAUAAUAAUUAAUAUCAAUAUCUAUAUCCGAACAUUAGUAAAGUUAUUAGCUAAUGUUCAAAAAAAAUUUGAUUCAACACAGAAUUUUUUUCUG